rnacentral:rRNA from 1 species
AUCGAACGCUGGCGGCAGGCCUAACACAUGCAAGUCGAACGAGCGGCGGACGGGUGAGUAAUGUCUGGGAAACUGCCUGAUGGAGGGGGAUAACUACUGGAAACGGUAGCUAAUACCGCAUACCAUCAGAUGUGCCCAGAGGGGAUUGGCUGGUUGGUGGGGGAACGGCUCACCAAGGCGACGAUCCCUAGCUGGUCUGAGAGGAUGACCGGCCACACGGGAACGGAGACACGGUCCAGACUCCUAGGGGAGGCAGCCUUGGGGAAGAUUGCACAAUGGGCGCAAGCCUGAUGCAGCCAUGCCGCGUGUGGGAAGAAGGCCUUCGGUUUGUAAAGCACUUUCAGCGAGGAGGCGUUACCCGCAGAAGAAGCACCGGCUAACUCCGUGCCAGCAGCCGCGGUAAUUC